GACGCUGGCGGCGUGCCUAACACAUGCAAGUCGAGCGCGAAAGGAGCAAUCCGAGUAGAGCGGCGCACGGGUGCGUAACACGUGGAUAAUCUGCCUCAGGGUUGAGGAUAACCUUCCGAAAGGUUGGCUAAUACUCGGUAAGCUUACGAUGUCUUCGGACGUUGUGAGAAAAGUAGACCUCUAUUUAUAAGUUUACGCCCCAGAGAUGAGUCCGCGGCCCAUCAGCUAGUUGGCGGGGUAACAGCCCACCAAGGCUACGACGGGUAGCUGGUCUGAGAGGACGAUCAGCCACACUGGAACUGAGACACGGUCCAGACUCCUACGGGAGGCAGCAGUGGGGAAUUUUCCACAAUGGGCGAAAGCCUGAUGGAGCAACGCCGCGUGUGUGAUGAAGGUCUUCGGAUCGUAAAGCACUUUCGAUCGGGACGAAAAACCUCUGGCUAACAUCCAGGGGCCUGACGGUACCGAGAGAAGAAGCACCGGCUAACUCUGUG
rnacentral:rRNA from 1 species